rnacentral:rRNA from 1 species
GACGAACGCUGGCGGCGUGCUUAACACAUGCAAGUCGAACGGAAAGGCCCUGCUUUUGUGGGGUGCUCGAGUGGCGAACGGGUGAGUAACACGUGAGUAACCUGCCCUUGACUUUGGGAUAACUUCAGGAAACUGGGGCUAAUACCGGAUAGGAGCUCCUGCUGCAUGGUGGGGGUUGGAAAGUUUCGGCGGUUGGGGCUGGUCUCGCGGCUUAUCCGCUUGUUGGUGGGGUAGUGGCUUACCAAGGCUUUGACGGGUAGCCGGCCUGAGAGGGUGACCGGCGACAUUGGGACUGCGAUACGGCCCAGACUGGUACGGGAGGCAGCAGGGGGGAAUAUGGCAGAAUGGGCGGAAGCCAGAUGCAGCAACGCCGCGUGCGGGAUGACGGCCUACGGGUGGUAAACCGCUUUGGCCGGUGACAUAGCGUGAGUGACGGUAAUGGGUAAAGAAGCACCGGCUAACUACGUG